ACUUCCUAUCAGUGUAAAUGGGUGUGAAUCUAGUGAUUUCACAUGAAUAUUCAAUUGUGACUAGAUCCACACUCAUUAAUGUUGUUUGGAA
rnacentral:pre_miRNA from 3 species